AUAAUGCUCUCUACUAUCGUAGGUGGAGCAUAAAAAUUGAAUAGCAUUGGCCAACAGGUCAAGCCUAUAUAAGCCCUUUUCAGAUUUGUUCUAUUUCACUUGUUACAUUGGAAGUAUCAACUAAAAAUUCUUUUCAUGAAAUUAUGGACUGUGCUUGUCCCAAUUCAGGGGCCUGUUAUUUAGUGGUUGUCAUUUUUUGCUGUGUUACAUAUUUGUUUUUUGUUCAUGUUUUUUUGUACAUUGAUUAGGCUUAGUUUUCUCAUUUGAAUUGUUUUACAUUUGUGAUUUAGAGGCUGUUUUACAGUGGACUAUACAGUAUGACCUCAUUGUUGAAGGCCAUACAGUGACCUAUAGCUGUUAAUUUCUAUGUCUUCGUCUCUUGUGGAGAGUUGUUUCAUUGGCUAUCAUACCACAGCUUCGUUUUUAUAUUUGCAUAUUAGGGACAAAAU
rnacentral:lncRNA from 1 species